CAAAGGCUUGGUCCUGACUUUACUCUCAACUCUAGCUGAACUUACACAUGCAAGUAUCCGCAUCCCCGUGAGAAUGCCCACAACCUCCUGCCCGGAGGCACGGAGCUGGUAUCAGGCACACCUUCAGCCCAUGACACCUUGCUUAGCCACACCCCCAAGGGAACCCAGCAGUGAUAGACAUUAAGCCAUGAGUGAAAACUCGACUUAGUAAAAGCUAAGAGGGCCGGUAAAACUCGUGCCAGCCACCGCGGUUAUACGAGAGGCCCAAGUUGACAGACUACGGCGUAAAGAGUGGUUAGGGGUAAUACAAACUAAAGUCAAACGCCUUCAAUGCUGUUAUACGCACCCGAAAGUAUGAGGACCAUCCACGAAAGUGACUUUACAAAUCCUGACUCCACGAAAACUAGGAAACAAACUGGGAUUAGAUACCCCACUAUGCCUAGCCCUAAAUAUUGACCAUUUACUUACACUUAACUCCGCCUGGGUAUUACGAACAUAAGUUUAAAACCCGAAGGACUUGGCGGUGCUUAACAUCCACCUAGAGGAGCCUGUUCUAGAACCGAUAACCCCCGUUAAACCUCACCCUCUCUUGUUUAUCCCGCCUAUAUACCACCGUCGUCAGCUUACCCUGUGAAGGGUACAUAGUAAGCAAAAAUGGCAUAGCCUAAAACGUCAGGUCGAGGUGUAGUGCAUGUGAGGGGAAGAAAUGGGCUACAUUCGCUAACUAUAGCGAACUACGAAUGUUGUACUGAAAUACACAGCUAAAGGAGGAUUUAGCAGUAAGCAGGAAAUAGAGCGUCCUGCUGAAGCCGGCUCUUAAGCGCGCACACACCGCCCGUCACCCUCUCCAAGCUUAGAACUAAACCUAACUAAAACAUUCCCGCUGCAAAGGAGAGGAAAGUCGUAACAUGGUAAGCGUACCGGAAGGUGCGCUUGGUAAAU
rnacentral:ncRNA from 1 species